UACGAAGGGUGCAAACGUUGCUCGGAAUUAUUGGGCGUAAAGCGCACGUAGGCGGCUUAGCAAGUCCCAUGUGAAAGCCCACGGCUCAACCGUGGAAGUGCAUGGGAAACUGCUGAGCUUGAGUACUUAAGAGGAUCGCGGAAUUCCCGGUGUAGAGGUGAAAUUCGUAGAUAUCGGGAGGAACACCGAUGGCGAAGGCAGCUCUCUGGUCCUAUACUGACACUCAGGGACGAAAGCUAGGGGAGCGAAUGGG
rnacentral:rRNA from 1 species